rnacentral:rRNA from 1 species
GACGUAGGGCGCAAGCGUUGUCCGGAUUUAUUGGGCGUAAAGAGCUCGUAGGCGGCUUGUCGCGUCGACCGUGAAAACCCGCAGCUCAACUGCGGGCUUGCGGUCGAUACGGGCAGGCUCGAGUUCGGUAGGGGAGACUGGAAUUCCUGGUGUAGCGGUGAAAUGCGCAGAUAUCGGAAGGAACACCAGUGGCGAAAGCGGCUUCCUGAUCCGACACCGACGUUCAGGCACGAAAGCGUGGGGAGCAAACAGG